rnacentral:rRNA from 1 species
GGCGGAAUGCUUUACACAUGCAAGUCGAGCGGCAGCGCGGGGCAACCUGGCGGCGAGCGGCGAACGGGUGCGUAACACAUCGGAACAUGUCCAUUCGUGGGGGAUAGCCCGGCGAAAGCCGGAUUAAUACCGCAUGAGCCCGAGAGGGGAAAGUGGGGGACUCGAAAGGGCCUCACGCGGAUGGGUUGGCCGAUGUCCGAUUAGCUAGUUGGCGGGGUAAGAGCCCACCAAGGCGAUGAUCGGUAGCUGGUCUGAGAGGAUGAUCAGCCACACUGGGACUGAGACACGGCCCAGACUCCUACNGGAGGCAGCAGUGGGGAAUUUUGGACAAUGGGGGCAACCCUGAUCCAGCCAUUCCGCGUGAGUGAAGAAGGCCUUCGGGUUGUAAAGCUCUUUUGUCCGGAGCGAAAAGGUUAGCGUGAAUAUCGCUGACUACUGACGGUACCGGAAGAAUAAGCACCGGCUAACUACGUGCCAGCAGCC